GAUGAACGCUAGCGGCAGGCCUAAUACAUGCAAGUCGAACGAGAUCUUCGGAUCUAGUGGCGCACGGGUGCGUAACGCGUAUGCAACUUACCUCUUACUGGGGAAUAACUUUUCGAAAGAGAAGCUAAUACCGCAUAAUAGAUUGAAAGGCAUCUUUUAAUCUUAAAAGGUUACGGUAGGAGAUGGGCAUGCGUCCCAUUAGCUAGUUGGUAAGGUAACGGCUUACCAAGGCAACGAUGGGUAGGGGAACUGAGAGGUUGAUCCCCCACACUGGUACUGAGAUACGGACCAGACUCCUACGGGAGGCAGCAGUAAGGAAUAUUGGUCAAUGGACGAGAGUCUGAACCAGCCAUGCCGCGUGCAGGAAGAAGGCGUUCCGCGUCGUAAACUGCUUUUAUAUAGGAAGAAAAAAUUUCUGCGGAAAUCAUUGACGGUACUAUAUGAAUAAGCACCGGCUAACUACG
rnacentral:rRNA from 1 species